GAUGAACGCUAGCGGCAGGCUUAAUACAUGCAAGUCGUGGGGCAGCAGGUCUGUAGCAAUACAGAUGCUGGCGACCGGCAAACGGGUGCGGAACACGUACACAACCUUCCUUUAAGUGGGGAAUAGCCCAGGGAAAUUUGGAUUAAUACCCCGUAACAUAUAGAAGUGGCAUUACUUUUAUAUUAUAGCUCCGGCGCUUAAAGAUGGGUGUGCGGCUGAUUAGAUAGUUGGCGGGGUAAUGGCCCACCAAGUCGACGAUCAGUAACUGGUGUGAGAGCACGACCAGUCACACGGGCACUGAGACACGGGCCCGACUCCUACGGGGGGCAGCAGUAAGGAAUAUUGGUCAAUGGACGCAAGUCUGAACCAGCCAUGCCGCGUGGAGGAUGAAGGUCCUCUGGAUUGUAAACUUCUUUUAUUUGGGAAGAAAUCUAUCUUUUCUUGGAUAGUUGACGGUGCCAGAUGAAUAAGCACCGGCUAACUCCGUGCCAGCAGCCGCCGUAAAAC
rnacentral:rRNA from 1 species